AUUGAACGCUGGCGGCAGGCCUAACACAUGCAAGUCGAGCGAGAAAGGUCUUCGGACUGAGUACAGCGGCGGACGGGUGAGUAAUGCGCAGGAAUCUACCUGGUAGUGGGGGAUAACUCGGGGAAACUCGAACUAAUACCGCAUACGCCCUACGGGGAAAGCGGGGGACCGUUCGGGCCUCGCGCUAUCAGAUGAGCCUGCGUAGGAUUAGCUUGUUGGUGAGGUAAAGGCUCACCAAGGCGACGAUCCUUAGCUGGUCUGAGAGGAUGAUCAGCCACACUGGAACUGAGACACGGUCUAGACUCCUACGGGAGGCAGCAGUGGGGAAUAUUGCGCAAUGGGCGAAAGCCUGACGCAGCCAUGCCGCGUGUGUGAAGAAGGCCCUUGGGUUGUAAAGCACUUUCAAUUGGGAAGAAAGGUUGCGUGUUAAUAGCACGUAGCUGUGACGUUACCUUUAGAAGAAGCACCGGCUAACUCCGUGCCAGCAGCCGUACGG
rnacentral:rRNA from 1 species